GUGAAUCAUCGAAUUUUUGAACGCAAAUUGCACUCUCUUCGGAGAGUAUGCCUGUUUGAGGGUCAGCCUAAAAAAAAACUAGAUAGUGUCUGUUUUGCGCGGAGAUUUGUGGGGAAAUUGGGCAUCUUAAACCUUUGUGGUUUUAACGGGGUUAAAUUUUUUUUUCAAUUUUUCGAACGGUU
rnacentral:misc_RNA from 1 species